CGGAAUCACCUGACUCGGAGCCGAGGUGGGGGGAGGAGGAGUCACGAGGAGGGUGGCCCCGCCGGGCCGAGCCCUCUGCCCUCCGCCCCAGCCCGCACCUAGGUCCUGCCCAGCCACGCGCGUUGUUUCUCACCGCUGUCCUGCCAUCUUUGGAGCUCCGGAGGCCAUCGCAACGGGAGAUGCUCUCUGGGCAUCUGCGAGAAUUGAUUGUCCUCCUACUACAAUUGUACUCGCCCAAAUCAACGUUUAUUGAUGCCUGCGAAGUCCUGGGGCACAAGGAGCACAAAACUGGAAUCGACACGGACCCUGCCUGCUUCCCCGUUGUUAGAAGAUUAAUAGAUAUCGGACUUCUGCGAUGAAAAUGUGAGAUUUCCUUAACGUUUUCCAAAGGGGAAUCUCAGUUGCUUCAUUAGAAAACACAUCCAAACAAAUAAAUGCUUAAUGAAGAAUACAGAUACAAAUGUACACUCUGGCCAUGAUGGAGAUCCAAGGAUAAGAUUUCCCCUCCCACCUGAAAUAACUAAAAGCACUGGAGAAAAAAAUAUGAAACAGUAGCCUUCAAGAUACUGGACAUCAGAUAACAAAGGACCAUGAACCCUGCAAGACAAAAAGUAAAUGAGUUGUCUGAUUGCCCAGUUUUCUGCCUUAAGAGAGAUUUCAGUUUGCAGUGCAUGAAGGGGGAACCUGGAUAGAUCUCAGCAAGUCGAUGAAAUAGAGUUUAGAGUCCAGAAAGACCUAAGCAACUAGAGUUUGAAAGACAGAGCACCAGAGAGGACAGCGCUGCAUAGAGAACACCAGAGAGGAGCAUGUGCGGAAAUUAUCCGAGCCAAGAAAAGAGUCACCAGAAAGGAGAGAAGAGUACCUUUUGCUCACGCUGCACCAGAGAAGCUAAGUAACUUUUCAAAUAAGAAAAUUCAUAAUUCAUGGGACAUUGAGUAAAGUACACAGGAAGGUCCUGCACCAGUUGUGGGGAAUAAUUAGCACUAAACAUGACUCAAAAACAGUUUCAACUAACAAAUCUUACCAGAAAGGAUCAAACUGCUUCUAAGUAACUGAGUUUCAAAACAAAUCCAAGGAAUAUUUAUAGAAAUACAAUAUACCAUCCAAAGGUAAAAUGUCUAGCAUCCAAAUAAUAAUUGCCAGAGAAGCAGGAAAAUGACAUAUAAUGAAGAGAAAAAUCAAUUAAAACCUAUCCAAACUGACACAGGUGUUAGAUUUAGCAGAUAAGGGCAAUAAAUAUUACAACUAUAUAUGUUCAAAAGUUAAGUAGAGCCAUAUAAGAUAUAAAACAGACUUGAAUCAAACUUCUAAAGAUGAAAACUAUAAUGUCUAAAAUGAAAAAAUGUGAUACAGAAUUGCACACCUGAAAUCUAUGUAAUUUUACUAACAAUUGUCACCCCAAUAAAUUAAAAAAAAAAAUAUUUGAAGAAAUUAUGGCCAAAUUUGCCAAAGUUUUAUGAAAACUAUAAACUCACAGAUCCAAGAAGCUCAACAACCCCCAAGUACAAGAAACAUGGGGGGGAAAAAACAACAGAACAAAGCCACAUGGCUCAAAACCAGUAAAAUCUUAGAAACAACCAGAGUAAAAAGACAUAUGUCAUACUGAGGAACAAAGAUAAAGAUGAUAAAUUAUUUCACAUUGGAAACAAUGCAAAUGAGAAAACAAUACAGCAACAUCUUUAAAGUACUGAAAGAGAAAUAUUGUCAAGCUGGAACUCUAUGCCUAGUAAAAAUAUAUUUCAAAAUGAAAGCAGAGAUUUUUUUUCCAGACAGAGAGGCUGAAAGAAUUGAUGACCAGCAGAUCCCAACUACAAACAAUGUUGAAGGAAAUCCUUAGGCAGAAGAAGCUAUUAAGUAGAAACAUCCACAUGCAAAAAAUGACACGUGUAUACCAGGGCUGCCAAAAAAUUGUGUACACAUUUUAAGCGAUGUUAUCUAUGCUCAAGCAGUAGUUCACCGUAAUCAGAAGUGUCUGGACGCUGAUGGUAACCACUCUGAGCACAUCCUGUAAUUGCAGAAGUCAAACGUGACAUGUAUUCAUCUUCGGUUAUCGGUAUAUAUUGAGUAUUACAAUUAAUACAGUUUUUUCCUUUUUUAAAAUGUGUAUACGUCUUUUUGGCACCCUCUGUAUAUACCUUGUACCAUGUAUACAAUGGAUCACAGACCAAUAUGUAAAGCCUAAAAUUAUAAAACUUCUAGAACAAAACAUAGGAGAAAAUCUUUGUGACUUUGGGCUAGGCAAAAUUUCUUAGGUAUGACACUGAAAAGCACAAUUCCUAAAAUUUAAAAACUAAUAAAUUACACUUAAUCAAAAUUUAAAACUUAAACUCUUCAAAAGAUACUAUUAAGAGAAUGAAAAGACAGCAAUUGACUAGAAGAAAAUAUUUGCAUGUCGUGUAUCUGAUAAAGAACUUGUAUCAGAAUAUAUAAUAUAUCUAAUAAGGAAUAUAAUCCAAUUUUUAGAUGGGCAAAAGAUUUAAAUGUACUGUACCAAAGAAGAUAUAUGAACAGCAAACGAGCACAUCAUUAAUCAUUAGGAAAUGCAAAUUAAAAUCCAAUGAGACAUCGUAAUACACCCAUUAGAUUGGCUAAAAUGAAAAAGAUGAAUGAUACCAAGUGCUGUUGAGGAAGUGGAGGAACUAGAACUUUGGGUGAUGUAAAAUGGUGCCACUUUGUACCAUAUGACCUAACAAUUCACUCAUAGGUUUAUACCCAAGAGAUCUACACAAAAACUUGUACACAAAUGUUCAUAGCAGUAUUAUUCAUAAUAGCCAACAAGUGAAGACAACCCAAAUGUCCAUCAAUUGAUUAAUGGAUAAAGAAAAUGUGGUAUAUCCAUACAGUGGAAUAUUAUCCAGUCAUAAAAAGGAAUGAAGCACUGAUACAUGCUACAACAUGGAUGAACAAUAAAAACAUUAUGCUAAGUAAAAAAGACCACAUGUCGUAUUCCAUUUGUGUAAAUGUGUGAUUCCAUUUGUGUGAAAUGUCCAGAAUGGGCAAAUCUAAAGAGACAGAAAGUAGAUUAGUGGUUGCCUAAAGCUAGAGAAGGGCUGUAGGGUGAGGAGUAGGAAGUGACUGCUAAUGGGUACAGGGUUUCUUUGGGGGACAAAAUUGUUCUAAAAUAGAUUAUGAUGAUGGGUGCAUAACCCUGUGAAUUAACUAAAAAAUAUUUAAUUAUACACUUUAUUUUUUUAUUAUACACCUUAAGUAAGUGGAUUGUACAGUGAAUUAUAUUUCAGUAAAGCUAUUUAAAAAGUUUGGCAGCUUCGGGCUGGCCUAGUGGCUCAGGCAGUUGGAGCUCCGUGCUCCUAACUCCGAAGGCUGCCGGUUCGAUUCCCACAUGGGCCAGUGGGCUCUCAACCACAAGGUUGCCAGUUCAACUCCU